rnacentral:rRNA from 1 species
UGUGUAGGCGGGGCAAUUAGUCAGUGGUGAAAUCCUGCGGCUUAACCGUAGAACUGCCAUUGAUACUGUUGCUCUUGAGUAUAGUUGAGGUGGGCGGAAUGUGUAAUGUAGCGGUGAAAUGCAUAGAGAUUACACAGAACACCAAUUGCGAAGGCAGCUCACUAAGCUAUAACUGACGCUGAGGCACGAAAGCGUGGGGAGCGAACAGGAUUAGAUACCCUGGUAGUCC